GAUGAACGCUGGCGGCGUGCUUAACACAUGCAAGUCGAACGGAACUACUCCAAUGAGAGUCUUCGGAAAGGAUUUGGUUUAGUUUAGUGGCGGACGGGUGAGUAACACGUGGAUAACCUACCUAUAAGACUGGGAUAACUUCGGGAAACCGUAGCUAAUACCGGAUAAUAUUUUGAACCGCAUGGUUCAAAAGUGAAAGACGGUCUUGCUGUCACUUAUAGAUGGAUCCGCGCUGCAUUAGCUAGUUGGUAAGGUAACGGCUUACCAAGGCAACGAUGCAUAGCCGACCUGAGAGGGUGAUCGGCCACACUGGAACUGAGACACGGUCCAGACUCCUACGGGAGGCAGCAGUAGGGAAUCUUCCGCAAUGGGCGAAAGCCUGACGGAGCAACGCCGCGUGAGUGAUGAAGGUCUUCGGAUCGUAAAACUCUGUUAUUAGGGAAGAACAUAUGUGUAAGUAACUGUGCACAUCUUGACGGUACCUAAUCAGAAAGCCACGGCUAACUACGUG
rnacentral:rRNA from 1 species